rnacentral:tRNA from 1 species
GCCCGAAUGGUCCAGAGGUACGAUUCAUCCUUCGGGGUUGAGCACCGCAUGGUGUACGCUUCGGCUCUCAAAAGAGCUCUGUAUGGAUGAGACCCGCGUUCGAGUCGCGGUUCGGGCC